GAAGUCAAGCAGAAUGUGAUUGACAAAUGGAACAAACAAGUAAAGAAACUGCACCGUGAGGAGAGUGCUCUAGAAAGUCCCAUUGAAGUGUUUACAGUGAGUUCUAAGGAGUACUGGAAUAUCAAACAAGGAAAUGUGAACAUCUUAACAUUUGAAGAAACUGAGAUCCCCAAAUUGAAAGAGCAUUUGAAGGCUAUCCAUGUCAUCCAGACCAAGAAAGCAGUAAAAGAUUAUGUUUCUGAGGUGUCUGGGGUUAUAUCUUUCCUUAAUGUUCCCAAGGAAAACGCAGAACAG